ACCUGCACCUGCUGCAGCUGUAGCGAGCCGGCCGGGGCGGCGGCCGCGUCGUGAUCGAAAUCGAUCGCGUCGACUUGGCGCCCGGCGUUUUAAACUUGUACCUACCGUCGAUUCGACGCUUUUGAUGCGCGACAGGUCUCGCCGGUUCCUUCGAAAGUGUUACUCGGUUCAUUUUAUUUUAUGUUAGGUGUUUAGUUUCCGAUGGAUCGCCCACAAAAUCUCACCGAAGGGCAGGUGACCCGAAUAAUGAUUCGAUUGAUUUUUUCCAGCCGAGUUGUAUCUUUAAAACGGCUGAAUUCUGAAAAAGUUAUUGGUCUUGUUGGCCUUAAAAAAUAUAGUUUUGCAAUGUUUACCAAAGGGUAAUGUUUUCUUUUAAAUUCAGAGCCAUGACGUAUUACAAUUAAUUACGUCUAAUUAACUGACAUAUCAAAAAUAUAAUGACAAAAUGGAUACCGCGCUACCCUUGUUAUGAUAGCGUAAAAACUAACUAAAAUGUUCAUUCAUUCCUAAACACGCUAAUUCUUGUAUUAUAUAAUUUGACAAUAAAUUAUAUAUUUGACUGCGUAAAGCGUGCUCUGCAGUGGCAAACCAAUAAAAUAAAAUAUACACCAACUACCUCACAGAACUGGAUUACUGACACAAUAAUACUUAACAACAUUUUUCUACCACUUUUGAAAAGUUUUUUCAUAUUAAAAUAAAUAUUAUAAUUUAAUUUACCGCUCUUUAUUCAUAAAUCUAAUGUAUUGGCCAGUGCACGAGCGGGCGAGUGUCGCGUCAUUCUUUCGUUAUGGAUAAACAAAAAUAUAGACUUACAAACGUCACGAUAGUAGGUGUACAAUAAAAUCUUGUAAAAACAUUAUAUUUUGUUUAAGUUAAAACUCGUAGAACAAUGUUGUUAUGAUUCCUGCGAGGUUGGGUGUUCUAAAAAUAAUCCUGUACUUAUGUAUGUAGGUAUAGUAUUAUUCUUUUAUCUCGAAAUCGAUGUAGGGAAACAAUAAUUCAGGGUAGUGUAAAACCGCUUAAUGGUCAUCACGUCUGUCUAAUUUCAACAAAAAAUUACUUUUAUGGCUUUUUACGCCAACGUGUCCUUAAAUAUCUCUAAAUGAUUAUGACCUUUGCGUGUAGUUUAAUAUUCUCUUAUCUAUUAGAAAAUAAAAUGAUAAAUGUAACUAUGAUCACUAACAGAUAUUUUUGUAAAUGCAAUAGAUAGUUUUGAACGCAUAAACAUGAUCAUAAUCAAAACCUUCAACCAAAUUUUAUAUACCAACAUUGGAGCAAUAAAGAAAGAGUUUGAAAUUAUUCAGAACAGUUGACGGUUAAAAACAUUGCGCUUCACGUUUGAAAUAUUCUGACGUGCGGCCUCAAACGUAGCCAAAGGUAUUUGCUUUGUAACGUUAGAACGUUUAUCGUUCAAUAUACCUCGAAUCCUCGAUCAUGCAAUAUGUAUACAGGGUGGAAUUUAGUAAUGCCACCUGGAGGGAAAGUACUCUUAAUACUGAAGAUAGAACAUUUUACUCGAAGAAAACAUUUCUUUAUUUUUGAAAUGAAAGAGAACUGCAUUCAAAGAUUUUCAAAAGUUUUUCGAAAAUUCACCACAACACCAUACAAUUUUCCGUAAAUUAAUUUAAAGUCAUUAAAGAUUUCAUAGCUUUCCUUUCAUUUGAUUUAUAAAGUUUGUUAGAGAGAUUUCAUCCUUAUACUUAACCCUAACGAUCGAUGCAACAAAAAUACAGGGUGUAAUUUUUAACAGAUUUUAGUUGGUUCGAUUCCCGGGUGUGGCAAGCAAAUUUUGGGAAAUCUUUGAAUGCAGUUCUACUUCUUUUUAAAACUAAAGGAAUGUUUUCUAUGAGUAAAAUUUUCUAUCUACAGUACCUAUUAAGAGUAGUUUCCCUCCAGGUAGCAUUACAAAAUUCAGAUAGUAAAACUCAUAAUUAAAUAACAAUUCGUCCUUUAAGCAUGUUCAGUCGUUGAACAAAAACCCCCUUUUUUUUAAGAAAAUUGAAUAAGUAAUAAUUAAUUACGAGUUAACGUAGCUCUUAGUAAGUACACUCUCGCUUGAUUGUAAUGUUGCGUUCCUCGCGAGGCGUGUGUGCGGCCAGCGCGCGGCCGUCAGUGCCAUGUCUCGAGGGCCUUCCGUCAUAUUAUUAUUUAUUAGGAUAAGAAAAUUGAGAGGCUUACUCUAGUGGCGGUGUUAUAGAUAUUUUAUUGCAUAUUCAUAAAAUAGUGUAACCCGUUGUCCUAGGUGAACGAAAACGCGGCAACGCGACGAGAUGUCAUACAUUACAUACAUAACGUGUAUAUGUUGCAGUCCAAACUCGUAAUCGGUCAAAACCACUUGACUGCAAAAAUCAAUCGGGUGAUUUUGACUGAUGCUAUUUGCCCUGGUUUUGACCGACAUAUUGCCAGGGGACGCCACCAUAUCGUUUCCAAGGUGGCAAAAAUCGGAACCAGCGAUCCGGUAUUGAUGGUGGCGCCCGCCCCCCUGUCAGUGUCACUGGUGGGACUGUUAGGUGUAGUUCAUAUCUACAGGGUGGAAUUUUGAAAUGCCACCUGGAGGGAAAGUACUCUUAAUACUGUAGAUAGAAAAUUUUACUGAAAGAAAACAUUCCCUUAUUUUUGAAAAGAAAGAAAACUGCAUUCAAAGAUUUUUUUUUUCGAAAAUUCACUACCAUACUAUACAAUUUUCUGUAACAUGAUUAAAAUAAUUUAAGAUUUCAUGGUUUUCCUUUCAUUUGAUUUAUCAAGUAUGUUAGAGAGAUUUCAUCCUUAUACUUAACUCUAACGAUCGAUGUAAUAAAAAUACAGGGUGUAAUUUUUAACAGAUUUUAGUUGGUUCGAUUCCCGGGUGAGGCAAGCAAAUUUUUGAAAAUCUUUGAAUGCAGUUCUAUUUCUUUUAAAAAAUAAUGGAAUGUUUUCUUUGAGAUAAUUUUUUCUUUCUACAAUAUCAAGAGUACUUUCCCUCCAGGUGGCAUUACAAAAUUCCACCCUGUAUAGGUAACGAUUCUGAAACGUCAAGUGCCUAAAAUCAGAACUAAUGUUUGGGAUGCGUAACUGCCUAGCUCGCAUAAAUAUUUAUAACUAUGUAUUUUGAAAACCUUUAAAAAAGAGGCUGACAAUAGUGUCUGAGUUUCUUGCGCUGCUUCUUCUCAGCACUGGCCCAUUUAUUGUCCUGAAGCAGUGGUAGGGUUAAUACUGGGACGUGUAAAAGUGCUUUUUUAAAGCCUACUUACAGAAAUAAAUGAAUUUUACUGAGUUUUUUAAUAACCCAGUAUUGACAAUGCAGCGAUGUCAUAGCUGGGACCGUUUAGUGUUGUUGAUUAUCUACAUUAUUAUAUUAGUCGCAUUCCGCCACGUCACGUCAUCAUUGCAUGUCGUGUUCCGUCGCUUACCUAAGACGACGGGUAAACCAGUGUCCCGAUUACGCUAAUUUUUAACGUCUCCAAUACAGACGCGCUUCUUCGAUUUCUUCGAUUCUGCGAUACGGAUUUGUCAAAACAGCUGACGUCCGGGCACGUUGAAGAUGAAAAUUUUUAGCGUAAUCGGGGCCCUGUAUCUAAACCCUGACCAGAAAGAAAUGUUGUUUCUAUAAUUUAGUUAUAGUGGGAUAAACUUCAUCAAAUAAAAAGGAUUGAUUCUAGUGUUCAAAUGCAACACGUUCUCCCAAUGCAAUGGAUCGAAGUUAAAAAAUACCUUUUUAAAAUCACCAUCAGCAGAAAUCAGUCAUUUGGUAUGGAAAAGUAUCUUUUUUUAAAUAAUUUAAUAUUGGUCCUGUAGUAAAAGUUGUUAUGUUUGAGUAGUAGAUUCAACCAUUUUUGUUUGAUCAACUAUAAAAAAUUACCUUAUAUUAUGUUAAGUCAUAAUGUUUAUUCUAUGUAGGUAAGGUACCAAGAAUUUUAUUUUUUUGUUUUUUUUUUUACAUCCCUUGAUGUAUUGAUAUUAUAUUUUAGGCUAUAACAUCAACGAUGUUCUACUGGUAAGCCUGGUAGAUGAAUGAAUAGCUAGAACAAUUAUUUUAAUGAAUAUUAUAUUUUUAAGAGACUAGUUAAUCAUAGAGGCCUAGUUGGCGAGUAGUGAAUUGACUUGGAUUGUGCUGUCGGCUGUCGCAGGGCCUUUUGGCCUCGAGAACAACGUUAAUUUACUGUGAUCAUAGUUUGUAUGCUUUUUGUUAUUAAAAAAUGUUAUCAAUUGAA